UGAGGAAUAUUGCGCAAUGGGCGAAAGCCUGACGCAGCGACGCCGCGUGGAGGAUGAAGGUUUUCGGAUUGUAAACUCCUGUUAAGUGGGAAGAAACGACAAAAUAUAAUACAUUUUGUAACUGACGGUACCAUUAAAGAAAGCACCGGCUAACUUCGUGCCAGCAGCCGCGGUAAUACGAGGGGUGCAAGCGUUAUUCGGAAUUAUUGGGCGUAAAGGGUGCGUAGGCGGCGUAUUAAGUCAACUGUUAAAACCUCCAGCCUAACUGGAGAUCAGCAGUAGAUACUGGUAUGCUAGAGGAUGGAAGGGAGAAGUGGAAUUCUUGGAGUAGCGGUGGAAUGCGUAGAUCUCAAGAGGAACACCAAUGGCGAAGGCAGCUUCUUGGUCCAUAUCUGACGCUGAUGCACGAAAAGCGUGGGGAGCAAACAGGAUUAGAUACCCUGGUAGUCCACGCCGUAAACGAUGAUCACUAGAUGUUAAUUCUGCUUGCAGAAUUAGUGUCGUAGCUAACGCGAUAAGUGAUCCGCCUGGGGACUACGGUCGCAAGAUUAAAACUCAAAGGAAUUGAC
rnacentral:rRNA from 1 species